GACGAACGCUGGCGGCGUGCUUAACACAUGCAAGUCGAACGGUGAAGGGGUCUGCUUUUGUGGGCCCUGGAUGAGUGGCGAACGGGUGAGUAACACGUGAGUAACCUGCCCCCUUCUUCUGGAUAACCGCAUGAAAGUGUGGCUAAUACGGGAUAUUCUGGGUCUGUCGCAUGAUGGGUCUGGGAAAGAUUGCGCCUUUGGGUGUUUUUGGUGGGGGAUGGGCUCGCGGCCUAUCAGCUUGUUGGUGGGGUGAUGGCCUACCAAGGCGGUGACGGGUAGCCGGCCUGAGAGGGUGGACGGUCACACGGGGACUGAGACACGGCCCAGACUCCUACGGGAGGCAGCAGUGGGGAAUAUUGCACAAUGGGCGCAAGCCUGAUGCAGCGACGCCGCGUGAGGGAGGGAGGCCUUCGGGUUGUAAACCUCUUUCGCCAGUGAAGCAGGCCUGCUCCGUGUGGGUGGGUUGACGGUAGCUGGAUAAGAAGCGCCGGCUAACUACGUG
rnacentral:rRNA from 1 species